GGCCAUAGCUCAAGGGGAGAGCAUCUGCUUUGCAAGCCAAAGGUCCCAGGUUCAAUCUCUGGUAGGGCUG